rnacentral:rRNA from 1 species
CCUACGGGAGGCAGCAGUGGGGAAUAUUGCACAAUGGGGGAAACGCUGAUGCAGCGAAGCCGCGUGAAGGAAGAAGUACUUAGGUAUGUAAACUUCUAUCAGCAGGGAAGAAAAUGACGGUACCUGACUAAGAAGCACCGGCCAACUACGUGCCAGCAGCCGCGGUAAGACGUAGGGGGCAAGCGUUAUCCGGAUUUACUGGGUGUAAAGGGAGCGUAGGCGGUUCAGCAAGUCAGAAGUGAAAGCCCGGGGCUCAACGUCUGGACUGCUUUUGAAACUGUUGAACUAGAUUGCAGGAGAGGUAAGUGGAAUUCGUGGUGUAGCGGUGAAAUGCGUAGAUAUUAGGAGGAACUCCAGUGGCGAAGGCAGCUUACUGGACUGUAAAUGACGCUGAGGCUCGAAAGCGUGGGUAGCAAACAGGAUUAGAUACCCUUGUAGUC